rnacentral:lncRNA from 1 species
GGGGCCAGGGGGCACCGUAGCUCUCGAUCACCUCUUUCUUCCUGUCCUUCUGCCUCUGGCCGGGCACCUACUUUCCAAGGAGAGCCACGUCUCUGAGCCCCAGUGUCCCAUCUGUAAGGUGGGGAUUAAGGGGAGACCUUCCCCCAGCUCAUCAGCUUGGGAGAGUAAAUGUCGUGAUGCACGCAAAGCACCCGGUGCACAGAGGAGGUCUCAUUGGAAAGUAGGUUCCCAGCCAGAGGCAGCAGGAGAGCAAGAAGGAGGUGGAUCGAGAGCUCCAGUGCCCCCUGGCCGCAAGACCAGACCAGAGCACAGCCACCCAGUCAAAUGACGGGUGUCGGGGCAAACCAAGAGCCUGUGUUCCGAUUGGUUAAAGCCCAGAGGCCUCUGCCAACAAAGGGCGCGCUGGUUGGUAGAGGGGGACCAAUGAGAAGUCGCGGCACUGGCGUCAAGUGCACGCGCAGAAGCCACGCGCUGUCGGGGACAUCUGGUACUUCCACCCGGGGUGAGGGCAGCGGUGUCCCGAAGGCCUCACUGUUCCUGUCGCGUGGCCCGCUCCGCCGGGCUUGGCAGGACUCGGCUCUCCCCUUCUGCCGUUACCAGGACGACCGUCUCCCCGCAGCCCAGGCUGCCCAGACUGGCGCCAUGAGCUCCCCCGACAAGUGCAUCCGGCUGCAGAGGGAAAUUGAGGACCUUACACAGCAGCUAGCGGCCAUGCAGUUCUUCAACGACAAGUUCCAGGGCCUUUGAAGUUGGAGCCAGCGUCCGGAGCUGCAGCCAAGCGAGUUUCCUCCUUAUCCUCCUUAGCCAGGGCUUUUUCUCUUCCGCUGCAUUUGCCCCCUUCCCAACGCAGUUCAAAGCAGUGUGAAAUAAAGUCGUUCUCAUAUUC